UACGGAGGGUGCAAGCGUUAUCCGGAUUCACUGGGUUUAAAGGGUGCGUAGGUGGGUUGGUAAGUCCGUGGUGAAAUCUCCGAGCUUAGCUCGGAAACUGCCGUGGAUACUAUCAAUCUUGAAUACUGUGGAGGUAAGCGGAAUAUGUCAUGUAGCGGUGAAAAUGCUUAGAUAUGACAUAGAACACCGAUAGCGGAGGCAGCUUGCUACACAGUCAUUGACACUGAGGCACGAAAGCGUGGGGAUCAAACAGG
rnacentral:rRNA from 1 species